GGACCACAGCUCAGUGUUGAAGAAUCUGCUUUGCAUGCAGAAGGUCCCAGGUUCAAUCCCUGGCAUCUCCA